rnacentral:rRNA from 1 species
UACGUAGGGUGCGAGCGUUGUCCGGAUUUAUUGGGCGUAAAGAGCUCGUAGGCGGUUUGUCGCGUCGGCCGUGAAAUCUCCACGCUUAACGUGGAGCGUGCGGUCGAUACGGGCAGACUUGAGUUCGGUAGGGGAGACUGGAAUUCCUGGUGUAGCGGUGAAAUGCGCAGAUAUCAGGAGGAACACUGGUGGCGAAGGCGGGUCUCUGGGCCGAUACUGACGCUGAGGAGCGAAAGCGUGGGGAGCAAACAGG